GAUGAACGCUGGCGGCGUGCCUAAUACAUGCAAGUCGAGCGAACGGACGAGAAGCUUGCUUUUCUGAUGUUAGCGGCGGACGGGUGAGUAACACGUGGAUAACCUACCUAUAAGACUGGGAUAACUUCGGGAAACCGGAGCUAAUACCGGAUAAUAUUUUGAACCGCAUGGUUCAUAAGUGAAAGACGGUCUUGCUGUCACUUAUAGAUGGAUCCGCGCUGCAUUAGCUAGUUGGUAAGGUAACGGCUUACCAAGGCAACGAUGCAUAGCCGACCUGAGAGGGUGAUCGGCCACACAGGAACUGAGACACGGUCCAGACUCCUACGGGAGGCAGCAGUAGGGAAUCUUCCGCAAUGGGCGAAAGCCUGACGGAGCAACGCCGCGUGAGUGAUGAAGGUCUUCGGAUCGUAAAACUCUGUUAUUAGGGAAGAACAUAUGUGUAAGUAACUGUGCACAUCUUGACGGUACCUAAUCAGAAAGCCACGGCUAACUACGUG
rnacentral:rRNA from 1 species